ACACCUCAACUCUCAUGGUUUGCCAUGAUGAGCUUGGACUUUGGGGGUCUUGCUGGCCAGCGGUCGGCUCCUCUCAAAUGAAUCAGCUUGCCAGUGUUUGGCGGCACCACAGGUGUGAUAACUAUCUACGCUUGUGGUUUCCUGCCAGGCAAUCCUUCAGCAAUGGAGGUUCACUGGAGCUCAUAAACGUCUCUCCAUAGCGAGGACAACUUCUUGAAU
rnacentral:misc_RNA from 1 species